ACGAGGUGUUAAAGAAAGGCUGAAGAGGCCGUUUUAUCGCAAUAAUAACAGAUAAAUAAGGCGAUGAACAGAAAGCAUUCAACAUUAGUGCUGCCCUCUUUCCGCGCAUUGGCUUUCUCGAUUUUUGUUGCCCCCCACUUGCUCUAUAGCGCAAACGUGCACAGUAGCGCUCGAGCUUCGAAGCUGCCGGACCCGCAAAACCAGUACGAGGAGCCGGCCCAAGAGCUCCAGCCGCCGUUCCCGCCGAAGACCUGCACCCAGUGACGGCCACCCUGCGCAGCUGUCGACGGGCGCCUGCUGCGAUGCCGUUGCGGAUGCCAGUCCUAGAACCGAGGGCGAGGCCUGCUGAGCUGCGCCGGCUGGAGCACCGUUGCUGAGAUUGCCCGCACCUCGCACAUCACAAGCUGCGGAAACUUAAUGACUGCUUGGACACCCGAAUCGCAAACUGGUUGGCUGCUGGUGGGAUCGACUACGCUUUGUCCUGGCAAGAACCAACGCCUCCGGACAACAACUUCGGAAGGAAGGUGCCAGGAUUCAUGACUGCAUAUGCGGUGACAAAUGGGCCUCUGCGGCAUGGAAGUUUCAUUAUCCGUAUCAACGUAUACGGCUUCGACGACCAGGUUGUACCGUCCAGCCAGUGCAGCCAUUGUUGAACCGGUACCCCGAGAAACGAAAAGAAACAAACUUAAGCAAUGCCCGGCUACGCGGACUCAAUAGAAGACUUAAGAAGUCCGCUCUGGUGAUUGCCGCCGGGAAUGCACUAAAACACGAAAGAUAGGAAAACAACUGGAGACACGGUGCAAGGUAAAUAAAUGGAAACCAUGGGCUC